CAUUAAUCAACAUUAGAACAUAAUGUAUCAAAGAACAUAAUGAAUCAUCAUCAAAAACACAGCAAAGAAAACAUUUCAGGCAAGUUUCAGUGCCUCCCCCUAAAUAUAUAUACCAGUAAGUAGAAAAGGUUGUAAGACAUAAAAGUUGGGCAAUGCAACGGGAUCAGAGCUUUUUUUUUUCUUGUUGAGAUGCAAUAAAAUAUAUCUUAUUUUAUUGUUUACACAUCCAUAUAAGGCUUCAACAGAAGAAAGAGUGUGCAAUUUGUAAAUUAGUUUAUUCCAAUUUCAAUAAGUGCUGGAGCUCACUUAAAAAAUGGCUAAGCAAAAUAUUUUAACCUCAUAAUUUAACUGUCCAAUGGUACUAAUUUUAAAAUGUCAUCACAUUUUCUGUUGCAAAAGCAGCAAAAUAAAAGCAAAACAAAAGUGUAAAAAGCCCAAUGCCAGCUGCUCCCAGUGGAAUACGACACUUGAUAAAUUUUUUCACAGAUUUCUCAGAAUUUACACAAAUCUUGCUCUAUGUGUCUACAAGUAUACACAGUGACAAUAGUGUGGUUUAGGUCAGAUAAAAUGACUGUCAUCAUUCUAAGUACAGAGGGAAUUGUUGGGUCAGUCUCUGGCAAUUGGAAGAGGUUUUUAAAUGUCUUAAAAAAAACAAAAUCGGGCCGUCAUGUGGUGCAGUGUAACCACUGGAGGCCACAGAAAUCCACACUGCCGUCCCGAGUGUGACUCGUGUCCUCGGUUUCCUUGCUGCAAUGUCUCUCCCCCCUUCACUAUUGAAUAAAAACCAGUAGUCCAAAAAACAUUUUUAAAAAGAAAGCAGAAUUAAAUGUAAGCUGUGGUGUAAGGCAAACUUUCCCAGCACAGCAUUUUAGGAAACACAAACUACCAACUCUGGCAGACUGUCUGGGACAACUGAAUUGCAGCGACUUGAAAUUUUGACUGGAUACAAAGUUAGCUAAAGUCUGUGUUCUAUUUAUAUAUUAUUAUGAGUUAUGCACAUCUUCAUAUGAACAUAAACUACACUAUUCACAAAGAAGAAUAGUUUACAUUUGUCUGGAUAAAAAGAAGGUCAGCAACAAGAUGGGUACCUAUGGAACGGUUCAGUUUAGAUGCAACUUGGUUCACAGUGACCAAGUACUGAUGGGCUUGUUCAGGUUUAGAUUUUAAAACUUGCAGGUCUAAUAAUGAGAUCACAGCAUUCACACUGCUCACUUUGUAACAUUUUUGGAACUGUUUCGAUUCGUGUCUGUCACACUGGAGUUCUAGUUCUAGACCAGGGACUAGUUAACUACCAAAGACCUGGUUAUCUUCAUUUUACCAUGACAGAUUUUGCUGGUGAUAGAGUAAACCCAUCUCAUUGUGUCUUUGAGGCCUCCUCUAUGUCUAAUGUUAUGGAAGAUCUUAUAAUAUACUGCAGAGAAUUCUCCAACUUUCUAUAAAGUCAAUAUCUAUGGAUAUCCAAAUUUCGUGCAACCUUUAGAUUUACUCAAGAACAGUGAUUAUAAGACUUCAUGGAAUAAGUGACCAUAUUGUCAACAGCUAUGCAAAACAUCUGUCAAAAAUAGGUGAGACAAUUACU